AGUGAACGCUGGCGGUAGGCCUAACACAUGCAAGUCGAACGGCAGCACAGUAAGAGCUUGCUCUUACGGGUGGCGAGUGGCGGACGGGUGAGGAAUACAUCGGAAUCUACUUUUUCGUGGGGGAUAACGUAGGGAAACUUACGCUAAUACCGCAUACGACCUACGGGUGAAAGCAGGGGAUCUUCGGACCUUGCGCGAUUGAAUGAGCCGAUGUCGGAUUAGCUAGUUGGCGAGGUAAAGGCCCACCAAGGCGACGAUCCGUAGCUGGUCUGAGAGGAUGAUCAGCCACACUGGAACUGAGACACGGUCCAGACUCCUACGGGAGGCAGCAGUGGGGAAUAUUGGACAAUGGGCGCAAGCCUGAUCCAGCAAUACCGCGUGAGUGAAGAAGGCCUUCGGGUUGUAAAGCCCUUUUGUUGGGAAAGAAAAGCAGCAGGUUAAUACCCCGAUGUUCUGACGGUACCCAAAGAAUAAGCACCGGCUAACUUCGUG
rnacentral:rRNA from 1 species